rnacentral:rRNA from 1 species
UGAGGAAUAUUGGUCAAUGGCCUAACGGCUGAACCAGCAACUUGCAGGAAUGAGAGUUAAUAUAAAAGAUUUAUUAACUUGCUUGACUAGGUCUUAUAAAGUUCUGGAUAAAGCUGAUAAUGACAACUUUAUAUCCAUAGGUCUCGACUAAAUCUUGUGCCAGCAGUCGCGGUAAGACAAGGGAGACGAGUGUUAUUCAUCUUAAACAGGUAUAUUGGGUACCUAGACUGUGUAUGAAGGCUUUUAUAGUACCUACUACACUAGAGUUUAAUAUGUGAGAGGAAGAUGUCAGAAUUAUUGGAGUAGAGAUGAAAUCCUUUAAUACUAAUAGGACUGAUAAUGGCGAAGGCAAACCUCUAUGUAUAUGUACUUUAAAGGAAAAAGAAUUUAAUUUUAGUUAAGAAUAAAACGAAAGUGAAUGAAAAAGCUUAAUGAAAAGUUAAAUAAGAUAUAUUAUUAUAUAUGAAGAUAUAGAGAUAAUAAAUGAGAAGUAAAGUACUAAACUGACGUUGAGGGACGAAGGCUCAGAGAGUGAAGAGGAUUAGAUACCCCCGUAGCCUGGGCAGACAAUGAUGAGUGCCAUAGGUUGGCUUUUAGUUGAACUAUAAAUGAAAGUGGAAGCACUCCACCUCAAGAGUAAUGUGGCAACGCAGGAACUGAAAUCAUUAGACCGUUUCUGAAACCAGUAGUGAAGUAUGUUAUUUAAUUCGAUGAUCCGCGAAUAACCUUACCACAAUUUGAAUGCUCUAAAUUAGAAUAUAAACACAAGAAGGGCAUUAUGUUAGCAUAGUUAUCUUUUGUCCUUAUUGUGUUAUUUAGACCACAUGCGUUGCAUGGCUGUCUUCAGUUAAUGUCGUGAGAUUUGGUUAGGUCCAUUAAAUUAACGUAAACCCUUGUUUUAUUUAAAAAAUAAUAAGGCAGCUCUCCGCUUACAAUUGGAUUGAUAACAGGGACUAAGACAAGUCAUCAUGGCCUUAAUAUUGUGGGCUAUAGACGUGC